GGGGCCUCGUGCACCAGCCCACACUGGGGCUGGCGAGGUGCCAUGUGCCAGGGAGCUGUAGUGCUGCCAGCCCAGCACCACGCGUCUCCACUGCAAACCCUGCAGCGCCCAGCGUAGACACGUGCUGCAGCCGGUUAAUAAAGCCUCUCCGAAAGGCAGCAGCUAGGUCAAGGGGAGAAUUCUUCCAAUGGCCUGUCUGCAUUACAGGGGGUGGUUAGGUUGACUUAACUAUGCCUCCCACAGGGCGUGAAACUUUUAACAGAUCUGAGCAAUGGAUCCAGGGUGACCUAAGUUUUAGGUGCAGACCAGUCCUGAGAUUUCAGGUUGAGGCUGCCCCUUUAACACAGUGCACUGCAAGAGGUGUAUAUGGUACCUGAAGGUGUCCCGGAACCCCUCGUUGACCCACGGCGAAUCAGCACAGGCACUGAUGACUCGGAGAUACAGAAAUGCCAGAUACAGGACUUCCCUGAAAACAAAACACCGGAGCAUAAGCACAUUCCUUAUUCCUACAUGAGAAAAUUGAAGUAACAGGGUUCUUGGAUGAUCAUUUCAAACUGGAUCGCUCUGCCCAGUGACCCUUUUCAGCACUGCUCACCGGAUGCUGAGAUCAAAGCUGGCGCUCAGCACAAACCCUUUCUUCUCAUUGAGGAACACUGCCUUGAUGCUCCCAGCAUGGCCACUGAUCACAGGUGGCACUUCCUUCAGCUCCAACACGUCAAGGAACCUGACUUUGCGGUCCACUGAGCCAAUGGCAAGCAAGUUCCCACCACAGUAGUGGAUUACCCUGUGUGGAUCUGACCUGGUGAAACUAAUUCUGGAGGAAGGCACACGUAAGAGGGGCAGAAUCGAACCCUGAAAUUUGGACACAAAUCAUGAGUAAGUUACCCUGUAAAUAAUGUGAUCCUUAUUUUUCAUGCAGGGACUUCUAUACUAGUUCCAUCAAAUCUUUGAAUAAAUAACAGCAACAGUCACCCGUUGAAAAAUUAAUAUGCAUAGGAAACUGUAGCCUUGUCCACACUUGUGCACUAAUAAUACUCAGCACUUACUGGGCCUGAUUCGCCCCUGGCUUGUACCUCGUGUCUUCAUUUUCACUAGUGCAAAGUGGAUAUAAAACACUAUCUUUCUGAUCUGGUGGUGUU